rnacentral:tRNA from 1 species
GGUUCCGUAGUGUAGUGGUUAUCACGUCUGCUUUACACGCAGAAGGUCCUGGGUUCGAGCCCCAGCCGGAACCA